rnacentral:lncRNA from 1 species
GGAAAUCAUAAUCACGAAAAAUCUCUAUAAGAUAGCCCACUGAUCCGGUGUCACAAGUCUGAGCCUCUAAUACAAGGUUUCAACAAUCCAAUACAGAAAUAUGUCUAAAAUGCGGAAUAAUAAGUGGAGAUAGAAGGAGAAAUCAGGUCUACGAACGCCAUGUAGCUACCUCGAUAACUCCGAUGAAAACAGAACAGCAGGAAAGUUUGCUCUAUGCCUCAGAAAUACAUGUACCUGUACACAUGGUGCAGGGAGUAAUGUGAGUACUCCGACCCAGUGAGUAACAACAAUAAAUAAUGGCUGACAGUAUGAAAUCACGUAAAGGCACUAAGCAGUUCUAUAUCAAAACAGUAAAAUCAUUUAAGCAGCAGUAAAUGAAAAAAUCAUGUGAAAUUCUAUAAACUAGGUAAAACAGAUAUAAUCAGUAUAAAUCAGAUCCUCACGCAUUUCAGUUCAUUUAUUCGUUCUUAUCCCCAGUUCUCAAUUCAUAUACCUCUCACGAUAACCGAAUCAAUAAAUAUAUAUACCGCUGCGGCGUGCAGCUCGAUCCGUAUAUCGCUGUGGCGUACAACCCGAUCCAUAAUAAUAAUAAUAGUCGACUGCGCUCACUGGGGGUGUGCAAACUCCAGAUGGGCUCCUUCAGCCUAAGCGCUAUAUAAUUGUUGCGGCGUGCAGCCCGAUCCAUAUAAGUGAUUGUUGCGGCGUGCAGCCUGAUCCAUAAUAUGUAUAAUAUAUAUAUCUGCUGCGGCACGCAGCCCGAUCCAUAUCAUAUAAAAUAUCCUCAAUAUUGGGUCCUCGACCCCUCUCAGUCAUUUAAAAAUCACAGCCUCUCGGGCAUAAUGUACGGUCGGGAUCUCAGCCCUCAUAUCUAUUCCUAUUUAUGAUUAACAUUUCAAAAAUCUGGUNNNNNNNNNNNNNNNNNNNNNNNNNCAAUUGGAAACAUGACUGAGGAUAUAAAUCUUUAACAAAAUAAGUGAGGAAAACCAGUCAAAAAUCCCCUAAGGGUCCUACAGGUCGGCACAAGGCCCCAAGCGUGGCAACAAGCCUAAUUCACAACAAUAAAGUAUAUGUCUCAAUCAAAAGUGUAGUAAAAUAUCAUUCGGGAUGGACCAAGUCCCAAUCCCCAUAGCAUUGAACCUCACGCUCGUCACACAACGUGUAUCUGAACUUAGUAUAGCACUACGUUGUGCAAAUAUGGGGUUUCAAACCCUCAGGACAUCAUUUAAAAUCAUUACUCACCUCAAACUGGCCAAAACUCUAGCUCGCUAUGCCAUUGCCUCUCAAAUUGGCCUCCACACGCGUCGAAUCUAUCCAAAAUCAGAACGAAUACAUCACAAUAUGCUAAGGGAACAAAGCCCAAGCGAAAACAUUCGAAAAAUAUCAAAAAUCCCUAAAUUAGCAAAAUUUGAGCCCUGGGCCCACGUCUCGGAAUCGGGUAAAAUUUACAUUUUCAGAAUCUUCAUACCCUCACGAGUCUAACCUUACCAAAAUUAUCCAAUUUUGAUACCAUUUGGUCCUUCAAAUCAUCAUUUUAUAUUUUUGAAAGGUUUCACAAUUUUCUUCCCAAAUUCCAUCCCAAAUCAUGAAUUAAAUGAUAAAUUCAGUGAUAGAUUCAUGUAUUCUGCCCAAAUAUGAAUUAAAAUCACUUGCCCUGGUGAAUUUCUUGAAAAACCUUUGAAACUUUGCCAAAAUCCGAGCUCUCUAGGUCAAAAUAUUAAAUAAAAGCCAAAACCUCGUAUUUAUAGGUACCCCCUCAGAUUUCAGCUACCGCAGGCCGCACCAAAAGGACCACGGUCCGCGCAAGCCAGUGCGGUCCGCGCAAACACAACCGCGGCCACACAGGCCUUCCUCUACAGUGACAGGCUUUAUUAUUUUCGCCAUACCUUUUGCUACAUAUGUCCAAAUUGCAAUAUCUUUACCUUUAUGGAAACUAAAUACGAAGGGCUACAACUUUCGUUUUUGAAUCAUCUCCAAAUUCCUUGUGGAUCAAAAGAUAAAGCUUCCGAAGUUGGACCGACGAUCUGCGGAUCUUCAUGACCGUGGCCGCGGUCAUUUUUAAGCGCCAGCACUAAGCCAACGCGCCCAACGCUAAUUCUACCGCGGCCAGCACUAAAAAUUCUGCCCCCAUCCAUUUUCUAAGUUUCGAAAUGUCCGUACUCGCUCAAAACUCACCCGAAACACAUCCGGAGCCAUCAGACCUCACCCAAAUACACCAACACUUCCCAUAACAUCAUUAACACCUAGUCGAGCUUUCGAAUCACUCAAAACAACGCCAAAACACCAAAUCAACUUCGGAUUCAAGCUUAAGAACUUAGAAAUUUCAAAUUCCCAAACAACGCCGAAAUAUAUCAAAUCAGGUCCGAUUGACCCCAAAUUUUGUACACAAGUCAUAAAUAAUAUAUAGAAGCUACUGCAACUCUCGGAAUUUCAUUCCGACCUUUGUAUCAAAAUCUCACCUAUCAACCGGAAAUAGCCAAAAUCUCAAUUUCGCCAAUCCAAGCCUAUACCUUCCACGGACCUUCAAAAUGCAUUCCGAUCACGCUCCUAAGUCNNNNNNNNNNNNNNNNNNNNNNNNNNNNNNNNNNNNNNNNNNNNNNNNNNNNNNNNNNNNNNNNNNNNNNNNNNNNNNNNNNNNNNNNNNNNNNNNNNNNNNNNNNNNNNNNNNNNNNNNNNNNNNNNNNNNNNNNNAACGGAGCUAACCAAAUCAUAAACAUUCCCAUCCGAGAUCAAAUACACAUAAGUCAAAUUUUUGGUCAAGCCUUUGAAAUUUAAGGCUUCAAACUAAGAACUGUUAUUCCAAAUUCAUUCUGAUUACCCGGAAAACCAAAACCAACGAUUUACAUAAGGCAUAAUGUAUACACGGGGCAAGUCAUGCCGGAAGACUUACGAUCAAAGUGAAAAAGUUCAAAACGACCGGUCGGGUCGUUACAUCUUUUGGCUUUUAUUUUCAUGUUUCCUUGUAGUUUGAUUAAUUAACUUUUUUCUAACAAAGAUUAAUAUCAUAUGUCUUUCAUGUAAUAAUAUUUACUUUUUAAAUAAACACUUGCAUAUAUGAGCAUUAGUCAUUCAAAUCUUUGCAAGACAUACUUUCGACUAUAAAUCUUCUGUCUCCUAAUUUUUUUUUGGAUUGAUGUAGACAAAUUCUCUAAGAACAUCACUCAUAUAAAAAGAUUAAGCUACGCAUAUUUGCACCUUAUAAUAAUACCAAAAUAACUUAAUCACUAAACAUACACAUGUACUCAACCAUUUUAAGUUCAAUGUCAUAUCGCUUUCAGAGUUCGUCAUUUUUAGCUUGCAUUGCCAUUUUAUAUAUGUCACUAAAACACAAGAUUGGAAUACACGUGCAACGCACAUGUUCGAAAACUAGUACAUAUAUACGCGUAUAUAACGCCGUCUGAGUCAUGGGUAAAUGCACAUGUAUAAAUGAAUGAAAUACAUUAAAAUAUAUAAUAAUCUCAAUAUCCCUUUGUAUGCUAAUUAUCUAGUUACAAUGACUAACUGAUUGAACAAAGUUUCUCAUGCUUGCAUCUUUUGUACGUACAAAUAUGUGUGCCAACAAAAUAUCCUGCUUUGAAUUGGGAAUUGCCUUCUACUGUAAUAAUUAAGGUAUAUGAUCUUAUAUCAUCUAACUGCAAGGAAGCGGGUUCAAAUCAAGAAGAAACUUAAGAAAUAUAUCAAGAUUUCUGUUAAAUUUUUGGGACCAUUAAUCAUUGAGCGUGUAUCACCUUUAUCGAUUGUAAAAAAAAUUACUGUAGCAUGUAAAAUCUUUUUUUCCCCAGUAAUUCCAAUACCAAGAUAUAUAGGAAAUAUAUCGAAGGGAUAGUACAUACUAUUUGAUCUUAAAACCUUGCCGCAAACUUGAAAAAUGAGGGGAAGGUUCAAAUCUUGAACGCCACUCGUUAACAUCAAGCAUAAACAAGAGAAUCAUAUACAGAAUGAUUAUAAACAUGAAAAGUUGAAAAACUAUAAACAUCUUAAAAGGAGAUUAUCCAAGAUUUUCUUUCUUUUAGGUUUCUUCAUGUGACCCCGAAAUAACCAAAUCUUAGGUGGUCGACGAACAAAAGAAACAUGAAAUUAUAAUAGCUCUUGUUGUGUGAAUCAUGGGGUUCAAAGAAGUGAUAUCUCCGAUCCAAUAUAAGAUACGUGAAACUACAUACCUACCAUGAGCAAACUUUGUUUUGUAAAGAAGAAUAGAAAGAAUGUAAGAACCAUACCUAUUACUCCUUUGUUCUCCAUAAUUUGUCUAUCCUUGACCUUCCUCCUUACAAAAGAUGUCCUUUCAGUUUAAAAGUGAAUGGAAUAACUCCCACGUUUCCAUUUUUAAAUACUA